UCAUUAAUUAAUUGGAAGGGGACUAAUUUCCGAACUGUCAAAUUUAAGUGCGAAUUAAUUUUAAUAACCCAAUUGAGACAGACCCUAAGAUGCAAGCAAAUGUUUUAUCGGUGAGUUGUAUCCUUUAUGAGGGAUUUGCAGUUUGUUUCACAUCUAGUGGAUGCAGAAUAAUGAAAGGAGAAGAGGUUAUACUAACUGGUGAGAGGAAAGGUGCGUUGUUUGUUGUGAGGCAAGGAUGAAUGGGAAUUCGAAUAGCUUAAAUUAACGUUUUGAUAACAGGAUAAAUUCAAGAGAUAUUCUAUUCAAGAGCAGAUUUGAAGUUUUUCAGCAUUGAUUUAGGAGGAGCUGUUGUGUUAUGAGGGAUCGACACUAAGGAGGAGUAUUGGAAGUUGAAUAGUGUCCGGCCCCUCAUACUAGACUGUACACUGAAACAAAUUGCAUCGUCAAACGAACGACCACCAAAUAGUAAAAUGCACUAUGGCCAAAUGUUUGCAAAAUUACUAUAAAAUCAGUUAAAAUUAUCCACAUUUUAUUAUUUUCACAAUUUUUAUAGUCAUCCUUUCGUAGUAAAUUUAACAACACAAAGUCUUUAAAUAGCUUAUACAAAUUUCAACAAUUUAUAGCUCAAUCAACUAUUUCCGUUGUCUAUAAUAUCAUGUUAUUCUCAAUUUGACGGUAUUCAUGUUUAAAUCUUCAACAUCGAUGUUUAUUUUCCAAUCGUGUUUAUAAACAGACUGGCCUCCAUUUUAUUCUCGAUCUGGUUGUGCAAAUGUUGAAACGCCGGCAAAGUUUUGAAGUUUUCUGUUUUAAAUAAUGUUCAAAAACACUAGAAUUUGUUUAACUGAGUAGCGCUGGCCGAGUAGUAGAGAAAUUUAUUGGUGCAAAUAAAGCCCACUUCCUGACUCAGUUGGAAAUUUAUUCGUAACAGAUAGAUAAACAAGAUCAUCUGGUACCACUUACAAUUUUUGCUGAUGAAAAAGAUGUUAAUGGUAAAAUAGUAUCCGUUUGCAUAUUUUAUGGUCGCUCUUUCAGUGCUAUUUUUUUAUUUUUUUCAGUUGUGCAUGGAUUUGUUAAUUCCUCGUCAGACGCUUAUCAAUUGUCGAGAAGUAUUUUCAUGGUGCCCAAUCGAUCGAACUCACCCACCAGCAGAACGCCUAUGCCCCAAAUCAAAUAUGCGUAUAGUUUCCGAUAUAUGACGUUUUUGAUACUAUGUCGUUUCGAUGUACCUGUUAAUACAAUAAACUGUUCUCUAUGCUGGA